GUUAAGGUUAUAUAGCAAGAAAAUAUAUUUGGUUCUAUCGAGAUAAAGCAAAAUCAAUCAAUCCUUUCAAGAAGGCUGGUAUACUUUUAGCUGGGAUUUCUUCAGCUGGGGUUGCAUACGGUCUUAUACCGCAGAACUUUGCUAAACAGCGUAACAUAUUGGGUUAUAGAGAUUUGGCAGUAACAGACAAUAGAGGGAAGUGACCAUAAAGCACUUAACUUCGGAUGGACAUAAAAACGAUUAAUAACUGUCGAAGUAAA